UACGAAAGGGGCUAGCGUUGCUCGGAAUUACUGGGCGUAAAGCGCACGUAGGCGGCCUUGGAAGUUGGGGGUGAAAUCCCGGAGCUCAACUCCGGAACUGCCUUCAAAACUACCAAGCUAGAGGAUGUGAGAGGAUAGGGGAAUUCCGGGUGUAGAGGUGAAAUUCGUAGAUAUUCGGAAGAACACCGGUGGCGAAGGCGACUGUCUGGCCCAUUUCUGACGCUGAGGUGCGCAAGCGUGGGGAGCAAACAGG
rnacentral:rRNA from 1 species